UACGCAGGGUGCAAGCGUUACUCGGAAUUACUGGGCGUAAAGCGUGCGCAGGCGGCUUUGCAAGACAGAUGUGAAAUCCCCGGGCUUAACCUGGGAACUGCAUUUGUGACUGCAUGGCUGGAGUGCGGCAGAGGGGGAUGGAAUUCCGCGUGUAGCAGUGAAAUGCGUAGAUAUGCGGAGGAACACCGAUGGCGAAGGCAGUCCCCUGGGCCGAUACUGACGCUGAGGAGCGAAAGCGUGGGGAGCGAACAGG
rnacentral:rRNA from 1 species